UACGUAGGGUGCAAGCGUUAUCCGGAAUUAUUGGGCGUAAAGAGCUCGUAGGCGGUUUGUCACGUCUGCUGUGAAAACUGGAGGCUCAACCUCCAGCCUGCAGUGGGUACGGGCAGACUAGAGUGCGGUAGGGGAGAUUGGAAUUCCUGGUGUAGCGGUGGAAUGCGCAGAUAUCAGGAGGAACACCGAUGGCGAAGGCAGAUCUCUGGGCCGUAACUGACGCCGAGGAGCGAAAGCAUGGGGAGCGAACAGG
rnacentral:rRNA from 1 species